GACGAACGCUGGCGGCGUGCCUAAUACAUGCAAGUCGAGCGAAUGAAUGGGAGCUUGCUCCUGUUCGUUAGCGGCGGACGGGUGAGUAACACGUGGGCAACCUGCCUGUAAGACUGGGAUAACUUCGGGAAACCGGAGCUAAUACCGGAUAGUUUCUUUCUUCACAUGAGGAAGGAUGGAAAGACGGCAUCUCGCUGUCACUUACAGAUGGGCCCGCGGCGCAUUAGCUAGUUGGUGAGGUAACGGCUCACCAAGGCGACGAUGCGUAGCCGACCUGAGAGGGUGAUCGGCCACACUGGGACUGAGACACGGCCCAGACUCCUACGGGAGGCAGCAGUAGGGAAUCUUCCGCAAUGGACGAAAGUCUGACGGAGCAACGCCGCGUGAGUGAAGAAGGUUUUCGGAUCGUAAAACUCUGUUGUCAGGGAAGAACAAGUACCAGAGUAACUGCUGGUACCUUGACGGUACCUGACCAGAAAGCCACGGCUAACUACGUGCCAGCCGCCGCGGUAACAC
rnacentral:rRNA from 1 species